UGGAGAACAGACAUAUGUGCUUGGAGAGGAACUGGAGGACAGCCAUACGUGCCUGACGAAAAGAAGAAAAGUUAUACUAAUUUAUUAGGUUACAGGGGCAAUUUACACUGAUUUAGUUAAGGAUGUCUUGCUUGGAGCCCAUCAAUAGAACAUAUUCUAUGCGCAUCAGCAGCGGCGGCGGCUCUGCGCAUCAACAACAAAUCAGAUGAUCUAUCCCUUCUAUUGUUUAGCUCAAGACAAUCUACAAACCUGCACGAAUCUCUAUCGGCGUCAUCUGUUUCAGGCCUGGAAGAUGUAUCGGUGGCCUCUAAACCAGUUCAGUCAAACCAUGUAAUGUUGUUGUCUGGCCCAGUCCAGUGAACCGACAUAUUCUUCAUAUAAUCCAGUGUGAAUGCCCUUAUCCAC